AUAGAAGACAGCGCGCUAGCGUAUCUAGUCUAUGUAUACCUAUGGUCUGUACGUCUGGUAGCAUCUCCGGCUGCUGUUGAUCUUGUUUUUGGAGUAAAACACGGUGGAAGCUGAAUUAGCGAGGAUGACUCCUGCUCCUGUCAUCUCUAAGCUCCUCAUACAUCUUUACCUGCACAUGAGGAAAAUCACUCCUGUAGAAUGCAGAUGUUCAGAGGGAGAUGAUGCCACAUCUGGUCCAGCUGAUGGAAGGUCUUGAAGUUCUCUGACUGGCCUCGACUGAAGAUGGUCGUCUCACUGGAUUUAAGGUUCAGAUGCUCAGUAACAAACUCCACCAAUGUGCCAACAGGGAAGCUUUAGGUUUAUUAAAUGUUGCUAUGAAGGUAUUGCUGUUUUUCUUUGUGAAUGCAAUGUGCUCCAACUGAAAGUUGAAUUAGAACUUAGAAGUAAAUCCUUCCAUCUGAAAGGAUUUAGUUGCAUUAAUAACCUCAUAACAUUCUAAUUUUUAUUCCAGUCUUAGUUGGAAAUAGAAUCUCUGUAUUGAUUCAGGUAAAAACUGAACUUCACAGCAUGAUGGAGCAAAACACCCAGAUGAAAACUGUGAUGGUGUUGGAUUGUCAGACCGUAAUGUUGCAGCUCAAAGCAGCUUUUCUAGCUCAGUUCAUUCUGACAUUCAGCUAUGAAUCAACACAGCAGAUGGUGAUCCAUGCUGUGGAAGUCUCACAUCUCCUGAUUUAAUGGAGCUGCUUUGCACUUUUUACACUGUUUAUUCACCAACACUUUAUUUAAUAAAAGUCCUAUCUAGUUUUUAUGAGGAAAGUGAUGUUUUAAUUUCUCUGUGAAUAACUGCAGUCUAAUGAACAGCUGGAGUUGUAACAUCUGUCCUGAUAUUGAUCAUGAAGUAUUGAUCAGAAUACUUAUGGUCAGCAGUCAUCCCUGAAGUUUUACAUUGAAAUCUUUACUUGUGUUGUGAACUUUGGUAAGAAGCAGAAACGUUAGCGUUGCCAUGGAUACAUGAGUGUUAAAUUCUGUCCAUGUUUCCAUUUUGGGAAAUGCAGUCCAGUUCCAGAAUGUGGAGGAAUUUAGUCUCAAUCACAGACAACAAAUAUUAUCUGAAAGUCGAGUUAUUGUUGUUUAUCAGCACAAUACAAAAAUAUUCAUGUUAGACAUAUUCCAGUUAAGACUCUAGAAUAUUAUGAUUUAUGUAAAUUUACCUCAAUAAUAUGAAUGUUCAGGUUAAGAUUGUACAGUGAUAUUUAUUAUGUAAGUUUAGCUGAUUAAACAAAUGACUCUGCACUAAAAUAUUACUUAAAUUUACAUCAUUAUUAUAGUAUUUAGGGUCAGACCCUACAGUAUUGCGAUUAAGAAAUCAAAUAUUUUAUAAAAUGUAAAUACACUGAACUCAUUUGGAUAUAUUUAAGUGAGACUCUACAAUAUUAUUUUACACAAAUCUAUCUAAAUCAAAAUUUUAAUAAUUUUCACGCCAAACAUUUACUGGACUGAUUUAAAUAUUAAAAUCACUCCUUUCUAAUCCUCUGCUGUACGUUGAAACCUGAGGCCUUAAAUAGAAACACACAAGUAUCUGAUUGAAGGAACUUCUGCAGAGUCCUGGUUCCAGAACAUGAUGAUAGAAUUAUAGACAAACUUUAACAAAAGCUGACUGAGAGUUUACAGGUUUUUGUUAGAUUUCUUCAGUAAUUUAAUGAGAGUUAUCAGCAAAAAUCAAGUGUUCAUUUGAUGAACUUCAUUUCCUAAAACAUCCAGAAUUGGAGCUCAUAUCUUUGGCAGCUGUAAAGUUUCUGCUCCUUCAAAGUUCACAACACAAUGAAUUAAUUCCUAAAACACUCUCAAUGCUGGAGAGUGUUUGUGAUGCUGAAGCAGUGACCAGUUUUUCUGUUUCUUCUCUGGAGAUGCACAAUGAGGGACGUCUGCAGAGACUGAGAAAGAGUCUCACCACAUCCUGACAUGAGGAAAAAGACUUUAUUGAAGACUACAGUGAGAAAAACUAUCAGACAGCAGACGGCUGCAUUCAAGGCCUCCGUUGACUCGUCCCACCUGCCGUCUCUGGAGCUGAAGCUGGAUUGGAACAGACCAAAGUACAGUCCAAUCACGAUGCCAGCUGCCUCUCAAAAG
ensembl:lncRNA